rnacentral:lncRNA from 1 species
GGCGCCACGGUCCUCUACCCCUGCGUGGUGUAUGACCGUGGGCUUUUCACUUUCAUCAGAAAAAUUGCAAGCAGUACUUCUUGUUUUGGUAUCUCACACUGGCCAUGCUUUGUCUCCUGCCCUUUGGGCAGUUUUAGUCUCUUUUCUUUCUCCUGCAGUAGCUCCACUGUAUUUCAGUGGACUGUAGCCACAGAGACAGUGUAUCUUUCCAUGUUUCUAACACCACACCACACAAUGACAGUAAAAAUUCUAGUCCACAAACCCUGCUUUAAAGGAAAUUCCUUGUUUUCCAGUGACUCCAGCAGAGCUGAAUCUGAAAGACCCACAACGUGAGGACUCCCCCACGUUCUGACUCAGGAGAGGCGACACCUCAAAAUCACCCACAAGAAACGGGUCUUGCUGCAAAUUGCAAGAGGAUUUUUAUUCAAGAGCGCUCUCCGGCCCAUGGUCAUAUACCACGCAGGGGUAGAGGACCGUGGCGCCCCGAGUAGCUGGGUGAUCCUGUGAAAGAGCAAUUUGAUGAUGAAAGAACUCAGUGGGGAAACCCCCACUCAGCUCCCGAUUCGGCGUGCACCCAAGAAUCACGAAUAGAACACAACACCUUGAUGUAACAACAAGAGGUAGCUACAUUUUGUAAUGGCUGAAUGAAGGCAUGGAGGCAGCAAAGUUGGAGCUCACAUCUCGAACUACAAACAGAACAAUGAGAUUGAAUUUGAAAUGGCUUGAGUCUCUAAACUCUAAAAACCUUUGUCCAGAUACAUACCUCCUUCAGCAAGGCCACACUUCUUAGGCCGCCCCAAACCAUGCUACUAAUCAUGGACUAAUUAUGUAAAUGUCGUAGACUAUGGGGGGGCAUAUCAUUAAAACUACCACACUUACAUUUAUUAACCAAUUUGUCUAUAUAGCCAUUCUCUUGUUUCAAGGUUUCUAGUCCCUGACAUGAUUUCUUUCUCAUUGAGUGGGCCCUAAGUCCAAUUUGCCAGUCACUGGUUAACACUAACAUAUGAAAGCCAUUUAUUUCAACUUUUCAGAUGUCUCUCCAUACCUGCUAUUGUGGUGGUUCAUAGGUGCCACAGCUGGAUAGAACUAUUAAGUGUUUUUUGUAUAGUAUUUUCUGGUACUAUGAAAGCUAGACUUUAAGAAGGAGACUCUGUGAUUCUACAAUACAAAUUAUGAUCUUACUUGAGAAGAGAUUUUCCCUCACUCAUGACAAGUAGAUGUACACAACUCUGACAGCUUUUAUAUUAGUGCAAGAGAUCUGAACUGGGGUUCAUUAAUCCACUGAGCCCUCUCUCUAGUCCUGCAAAGUGUUUUCUUACUUUAAAAAAUCAAUUGCAGGAAUUUCUAUGACUAACAUGCUUAAAGAUAUUUGGAUCUCUUUCCCUUGGAAGAUCAAAAUGUUCUGUUAUGUUAUAAAACAUACUGACUGAUUAAAAUAGGUUUUUCUGUACAAAAAGAGUGCCCCUUAAGCCUCCACCCUCAGGACAGGACAAGUUGCUGUGAUUUUAGAAUCUAGCUUAGAAAAUCCCAUGUAAACCAUCACGCUUUCAGCUAUCCAUCUUGAUUCGUGGUUUUCAUCCUUAUUCCCUCAUAUAUUUGUCACACUUCCAUCAAUUGCAUUUUCUCUUACCAAUGAGUUUACUCCCCAACUCAGCGAAAAGCACUUCUGUCAGCCAUGUUCCUUUUAGAACUCUGGAGCUGGAACUGGUACUAUCAACAACUGCCAUUAUUUUUAAACUGAGUUUUUUUCUUUAAGAUUUAUAAUCUUAUAAUUUUCAUUUCCCUUCCUUUUACAUUUUUCUUAUUUUUUUUCAAAACUAUGUUUCAUAAAUAGCAUUUUGGUAGAUGACUGUAGGCUUCCAGACUUGGGAAAAACCACUAAAUACUGAUUCAUAUCUUGAAUAUAAAAUCCUUAUUCCAGAAUCUCCUGCAGCUGUGGAGACAAGGCAAUGAUGCUAGUAAUAAGAUCUGAGAACCAGACACAUGUUUUGUCUGAGUGAGACAGUGGGGUAUGUCCUUAUUCACUAUCAGGUAUCUUACUUUAAAAUUACAAACUUUGACAUUCUUUCAUCAUUUUUUCCUUUAUGUGAGAAAAAACUGAUUUUUCUCAUAUAAUAUAUCCUGAUUACAAUUUCUUCUCCCCACAAGACUCUCCGUUCCUUCCCACCUCUUCCUACCAUCUGCAUUCACUCUUUUUCUGUCUCUCAUUAGAAAACAAAGGUGUCUGAGGAAUAAUGAUACAUUUAAUAUAAUAAGCUAGAGUAAGAUAACACAGAACCCAUCCAUUGUAAUUGGAUAAAACAGACAGAAGGAAAAGAAUGGAAAAGAAGACACAAGAAACAGAGACCUACUCAUUUGCACACUCAGGAAUCCCAUUACACCACUAAAAUGGAAACCAUAAAAUAUGUGUUAAGGACUUGGUGAAGCCUUGUGCAGAUACUGUGCAUACACCUUCAGUCUCUGUGAGUUUAUUUGUCCUUUGAUCUUAUCGAUUUAGAGGGAUUGUUUUUUUUUGCCUUUAAGAGUAAGAUAAAAACAGGGAUUUGUCAAUCUGGCUUUGAGAUCUCUGAAUAUUAAAUAACAAUUAUUUCUCACU